UGGGGAAUCUUGCGCAAUGGGCGAAAGCCUGACGCAGCGACGCCGCGUGAGUGAUGAAGGCCUUCGGGUUGUAAAGCUCUGUGGAGGGGGACGAAUAAGCGUCGGUUAAUAUCCGGCGUGAUGACGGUACCCCUUUAGCAAGCACCGGCUAACUCUGUGCCAGCAGCCGCGGUAAUACAGAGGGUGCAAACGUUGUUCGGAUUUACUGGGCGUAAAGCGCGUGUAGGCUGCUUCGCAAGUCGGAUGUGAAAGCCCUGGGCUCAACCCAGGAAGUGCAUUCGAAACUGCAGAGCUGGAGUCCUGGAGAGGAAGGCGGAAUUCUCGGUGUAGAGGUGAAAUUCGUAGAUAUCGAGAGGAACACCGGUGGCGAAGGCGGCCUUCUGGACAGUGACUGACGCUGAGACGCGAAAGCGUGGGGAGCAAACA
rnacentral:rRNA from 1 species